CGUCGGUUUCCCUCAGCCGGUUGCACCGCCCGCAGUUUCUGGCCACCAUCCAUGUUACCAUGGACAUUUGGGUUACCAAGCCGUUCCUGGUUAUGCCAUUCUUGAGGGAAGACCUUUUCAAGAAGCCCGUCUUCCUUGCUGUGGCAUUGGCAUGGGUUGGUUCUUGUUUAUGAUUGGCUUCUUUCUUGGUGGCAUUCCCUGGUAUGUUGGAGCUUUUAUCGUACUCUUUGUUCGGGUGGAUUACCGAGAAAAACCUGGAUAUGUUGCAUGUGCAAUUGCUUCAGUUCUUGCCGUCGUUGCUAUUACGUUUGGGAUCACCAAAGGAGUUGACCCCUGGUGAAUGAGACAUAUGCAGAAUGGUCUGGCUUGCCGUGUCACCCCCCUGCAUCGACGAAAACAACGGUUGGGAUACUGUAAUUAGCUUUGAAAUUGUUAUUCUGUCAGCUUCUAUUUAUCAACUUAUUGGCUUCCUUUACCAUAUACCGACAUCUUCCUGACUUGCCAAAUAUGGAAUGAAAUGUUAAUAGAUCGAAGUCAAAAUUAUUAGCUUUAUUGGAAGGUUUUUUCUCUUUUCUUUUUAGUUUUAAAUAGCUAUAAGUGUCAG
rnacentral:misc_RNA from 1 species